CAACACUGGGAUAACUCCGGGAAACCGGGGCUAAUACCGGAUAUGAAAUCUGCGGGCAUCCGCGGAUUUGGAAAGUUUUUCGGUUGAAGAUGAUCUCGCGGCCUAUCAGCUUGUUGGUGAGGUAAUGGCUCACCAAGGCGACGACGGGUAGCCGGCCUGAGAGGGCGACCGGCCACACUGGGACUGAGACACGGCCCAGACUCCUACGGGAGGCAGCAGUGGGGAAUAUUGGGCAAUGGAGGAAACUCUGACCCAGCGACGCCGCGUGCGGGAUGAAGGCCUUCGGGUUGUAAACCGCUUUCAGCAGGGAAGAAGCGAAAGUGACGGUACCUGCAGAAGAAGCACCGGCUAACUAUGUGCCAGCAGCCGCGGUAAUACAUAGGGUGCAAGCGUUGUCCGGAAUUAUUGGGCGUAAAGAGCUCGUAGGUGGUUCGUCACGUCGGAUGUGAAACUCUGGGGCUUAACCCCAGACCUGCAUUCGAUACGGGCGAGCUUGAGUAUGGUAGGGGAGUCUGGAAUUCCUGGUGUAGCGGUGGAAUGCGCAGAUAUCAGGAGGAACACCAAUGGCGAAGGCAGGACUCUGGGCCAUUACUGACACUGAGGAGCGAAAGCGUGGGGAGCGAACAGGAUUAGAUACCCUGGUAGUCCACGCCGUAAACGGUGGGCACUAGUUGUGGGGACCUUCCACGGUCUCUGCGACGCAGCUAACGCAUUAAGUGCCCCGCCUGGGGAGUACGAUCGCAAGAUUAAAACUCAAAGGAAAUUACGGGGCCCCGCACAAGCAGCGGAGCAUGCGGCUUUAUUCGACGCAACGCGAAGAACCUUACCAAGGCUUGACAUAUACAGGAAU
rnacentral:rRNA from 1 species